CUCUUAUCAAGAGUGGGUGAGGGACGGGCCCGAUGAUCCCCGGCAGCCUGUGCGGCACGCCGUCACGCCCGUGCGUGAUGUGACCGAUGUGUCGUCGCAAGGUGCCAACUCCUACGGAACCAAUUCCGAGAGAUAAGAG
rnacentral:ncRNA from 1 species